UGGAGUGUAGCUCAGAGAUAGAGCACUUGCCUAAAAUAUAACAGGACCUGGGUUCAAUCCCCAGUACAGCUC
rnacentral:tRNA from 1 species